CCAUCUGCUCUAUGAUUGUGGAGUCUGUCACAUCAAAUCUCUCCCCACACUGAUGGCCAUUUAACAACUCUCUUCAACCCAUUUAAAGUGGAAGACCCUCAGACUGAAAAUUGAAAAUAAAACAAAUUUAAUGUAAUCUUCUGUGUCUUGUCAAAUCCACUGUUUUCAUUGCACAGAUUC